CUGCACUUAGAGACGUUGUUUGAUUUGAUUGGUCGCCCGAAGGGCAACAUUCAGUUGUCAUCUGAAUGGCUGCCCUGUAUGUCAAUCAAGUGACGGCAUUGAUGCUGGGAUGAUAUUUUUUUAAUGUCACGCCGCGAUCGACCAGCGAUCGACCAGUACCACCUCCGCGAUCGACCGGUAGAUCGCGAUCGACUUAAUGAGCACCCCUCUCUUAAACCUUUGGGAAGGGGAACACCCAUAUUUCCCUGGUUGUGUGUUAGCUCUCACACAAUGCAUGCACCAGUUCCCUGAGGCCCUCCUUUAUGUUUUUUUUUUUUACUGUAGUCAGGCAUGCAAACCUUGUGCAUGAUUUUAUUCACCUGUUCAGAUUUGUAGACUCUACAAAUACUACUAUACUAGAUUAGAACAGUGCUUGUCAAAUAAUAUACAUAUAAAUGUCUAUGAAUGAAUAGAUAUGGGGGGUGUGUGAAAACACUUCUUCCCCCUGACAGACAACUGAAUUGAAACCAAUGCUUUCGUUGCAAACAGUCAUCCGUCAUUUAUGGUGGCUGAUUGGUUCCAGACCCGACCAUGAGAAGUACUUUUCCGUAAAGUUGGAUUUCUUAUUUAAAAAUUGAAUAUUUACACUCAUUCAUUCAUUUUUAUACCGCUCCUCCUCAGCAUGAGGAUGCUGGAGCCUAUCCCAGCUGUCUUGGGGCGAGAGGCGGGGUACACCCCGGACUGGCGGCCAGCCAACCACAGGGCACAUAUAGACAAACAACCAUUCACACUCACAUUCAUACCUAUGGACAAUUUGGAGUCGCUAAUUAACCUAGCAUGUUUUUGGAAUGUGGGAGGAAACCGGAGUACCCGGAGAAAAGCCACGCAUGUGAUUGUUUUGGCUUUGGCACGCCUGCGCAGUGUGAAUGAAAAUGGCGGUACAGGCUGCAUGAUGCAGGUCUAGGGGGAAUUUGACUUUUUGUCAAAAAUCGGACUGAGGACAUGAAAUUUUCCACUUUUGAACUAAAAGGUAAACAUGACAGCUCCAAAAGUGUCUCGGAUUUUUUUAAUAGAACGGUUGUAGAUUUCAUCAUAAUCAGCACGAUGAAAGCAUCUUUAUGACAUGCACCUCUUAUGUAUUUGUGCUUUGAACUGGUGCAUACUGUGUAUAAAGUGAAAAGAGACGUGGGGCGUUUAUUUCCUGUGGAUUGGAUGCGUUCACUGCAGCGGUGUCAGAUCAUCUAACGGAGACUUCCUUCAUCCUUCAAGAAGUGCAGCGAGCUCCUGUCCAGCAGUCCAACCAUGGUGUGGGUGCUGCGGUAUUUGGUGAUGAUGCUGAGCUUUUGUAGCCCAGGUUACGGUAACCUUGUUAUAAAUCGUGGAAAAACCGCCACAUUUCUCUGCAGGUACACCCUAUCCUCUGCCGACGGGUACUACGAUAUCAAGUGGUUGAAGCAGCUUCCAAGUAUGAAGGAACCUGUUUACAGGAGCAUUGUUACGUUUACCAAUGGCAACCUGUAUACUGAUCUGUACCAACCAAUGAAGGGCAGGGUCUCCUUCGAAUUUCCUGACCCCAGCAAAGGAGAUGCUUCCAUAGCCAUCAAAGGCUUGCAAACCUCCGACACGGGGACCUACGUGUGUAAAGUGCGAAAGUCAGCUGAAAUCCUUAAAGACAAAGCCUUUGUCAUAGAAGUGACGGAGAAGUCUGUCGUUACUUGUACCGUGCACGGGGAGCCUACACUGGGUAUGGAUGUGAUGUUCAAAUGUAGUUCCUUAGAAAGCAUCAAGGUGCGGUACACGUGGAAGAAGACCAGCGGAAACAAGAUGUUGCCUCCCGACGCCAUUGAGGACACUGAAAAAGGUGAAUUGUUUAUAAACAUCAGAGACGACGACGACUAUGGACACUAUCUCUGUACGGUGGAAGGUCUGGCUUCCUCCAAAAGCUGUCUGGUCCAACUCAAGGAUCCACUUGAUCCACCACCGAGCGAUGACGAUGAAUCUCCAGGCACUGCGUUCCCUGUGACCCCAAACAAUGACCCGGCAGUCCCCAGCAAUGACCCAAUGGCCUCCAGCAAUGACCCAAUGGCCUCCAGCAAUGGCGAUACAACUACAAUAGCGGCCGUGACGACCACCAUGCUUUUGCUGGCUAUCGUCUGUGCUAUGGUUGGUAUCUGGUACUGGCGUAAGAGAAUCGGUUCGUAUGCCCCCAAUGAAAGGGGGGAGGUGGCGCAACCUCGGCCAGACGGAGCCACCGUGCUGCCUCAACCAUCAAACGGGGGACAUCUCUACUAUGACCAGGUGGAUGAUCUUUGAGGAGGACCAGGACAUGUAGUGGCAACAUCAUCCCUACACUCUUAAAAAUGCUGGGUUAAAAACAACUCAAUAUGGGUUGUUUUCCAACCCAACGCUGGUUAAAUAUAGGACCAACCUCGCGUUGGGUUAUUUUAACCCAACAAGUUGGGUUGGUUCUCUUAACCCAACAAUUGGGUUGUACAUUGGGUUGUUCAAAUGACCCAACGCUGGGUUCAUAUUUACUACACGGCUGGGUUAUUUCAACCCAGCAAGUUGGGUUGCCAAUAUACCAUAUAUAUUUAUAUAUAUAUAUUUAUUGUAUACUAAUACUAUUAAUAAUAUAUUACAAUGAUAAUGACACCAAUGUAACAAAUUUAUUAAAAUUCAACAUUUCCAGAACAUACAAAUAGAACAACUCACAACAUUUCCUUCACAUAUGAACAAAUUAUGUACAAAAAAAUAACAUUUUAAGAACGGGUGAGGGGGACAGCUAUGAGAGAGUGAUAUAUACAUAGAACAAGAGGCUCUGUGAGCAGCAGCACAAAUGGGUAGGCGAUUCUGCCUGCUGCAAGUAUUCCACCAUGUUAGCUCUGACCUACGAUGAGAAAAGAAAAAAAGGUAAGUAUUUUGUAAGUAUUUUGUAAGUAUUUCUAGCAGUGCAGAGCAAUUGUCAUCAGCUCUCUACUGAAGCUAUUUCAAUAUAUAUUCUACAGGGAGAAGUACGACACCCGUAAAUUCAAUGGCGUGUUCAACAAUUUAUUCAGGGGGUUUGGACAGUCUUACACUCUUAAAAAUGCUGGGUUAAAAACAACCCAAUCUGGGUUGUUUUUCAACCCAACGCUGGUUAAAUAUAGGACCAACCUCGCGUUGGGUUAUUUUAACCCAACAAGUUGGGUUGGUUCUCUUAACCCAACAAUUGGGUUGUACAUUGGGUUGUUCAAAUGACCCAACGCUGGGUUCAUAUUAACUACACGGCUGGGUUAUUUCAACCCAGCAAGUUGGGUUGCCAAUAUACCAUAUAUAUUUAUAUAUAUAUUUUAAUUGUUAUUUAUUUAUUUUUAUUGUAUGCUAAUACUAUUAAUAAUAUAUUACAAUGAUAAUGACACCAAUGUAACAAUAAAAUAUUUAUUAAAAUUCAACAUUUCCAGAACAUACAAAUAUAACAACUCACAACAUUUCCUUCACAUAUGAACAAAUUAUGUACAAAAAAAAUAACAUUUUAAGAACGGGUGAGGGGACAGCUAUGAGAGAGUGAUAUAUACAUAGAACAAGAGGCUCUCUGAGCAGCAGCACAAAUGGGGAGGCGAUUCUGCCUGCUGCAAGUAUUCCACCAUGUUAGCGCCGACCUACGAUGAGAAAAGAAAAAAAGGUAAGUAUUUUGUAAGUAUUUCUAGCAGUGCAGAGCAAUUGUCAUCAGCUCUCUACUGAAGCUAUUUCAAUAUACAUUCUACAGGGAGAAGUAUGACACCUGUAAAUUCAAUGGAGUGUUCAACAAUUUAUUCAGGGGGUUUGGCCAGUCUUAUGUUUGGUCUGUGGUUUACAUGUCACACAUCACUAUGGAGUAACAACUUACACCAAGUUACAACUUGUAAGAAUAGUGCUUCAUGAAAUGAGAAACACAGCCAAAUGUUACGUUGUCACACAUUCCACGAAAUACAAUCUUUUCAAGUAGCUCCUCAUAAAAAGAGUCCUUUAAAACUGUAAAAGAACAACUGGAGUCAUUUCACAAUUCAUUUACAUUUUAAUUUCUAUUGAAAGGUAAAUUACUUACGGGCUUAACAUCGAGGAAGGCUCUCUUCACCUCCUGAAUACUCGCCCGGACCAAUUUCCUGCCCUUUUUAAACACAGGCGGAGGGAGCAGGAUGGGCAGAAGCGUCAGGGCGACUUCUCCCCUGGCAUCUGUAGGACAAUUAUGGGUGUCAUUACCAGAUUGUUGAGAACAUGAGUUUUAAAUAAUAUAAUAUUACAAUUUUAGAUAAAACUGUCUUGUUUUCAAUAUGUUCCACUACUGUGCAGUGUUGUUGUAUUGCAAUCAACUCUAACAUAAUAAGAAAAUGUCUCGAUUAUGUUUACUUGGUCUAUUUUAAAACACAAAAACACACCCCAAACAUUUUUUUACCAAUUGGGAUCAUAAUGUGUACCAUAGAGGGUUUGUCAGUUUGUCUUUUUGACUAUAACAGCAAUAUAUAUUGGAAUCACAAGAUGGAUCACAAUCAAAAUCAAAUCAAAUUUUGGGUAUUGGCACAAGCUACGGUGACUGACCCACCGCCAUUUCUUAUGUAUAGAACAUAUAGUAGGCACAGUAGCUACUGUAAAACAAUACCCAUAAAAUGAAGGCAUGAAGAUGACUUACCUUUCAAUCAGCCCUGGUAGCUGCCUCUCAGUCAAUUUGGAACUGAUAAACUCAUCCAUAGAUGCUUUUCAGCGAACUGAAACAUCACAAAGAGGGUCCAUAAGAACAAACAUACCAUGAAAUGAACUAAGAUUCAGUAGUCCAAACGUAUUCUCCACAUUUAUAUGCGACUUACAAAACUGUCGUCGAAUUCGCGCCCAAACUAGUUGAAACUGCUAAGUAUACAGUGGACUAUCGGUGGCUAACGGAAGCCCGCUAGCAUGCAGCAGUCUGGCUUAAAAAAAACACCGGUUCAUCAGCACGCUCGUAUUAAUUCACGAGAUUCUUUAACUUGAUAUCACAUAAAAUGGCAAAUUGACGAGAUAACUGACGUUAACUAUCACACAUAGUGCACGUCUCUUGUAACUUCUACAACAUAGUUUGGUUCCUACAUAGCUCGCCAGCGAAUGUGUUCGCUUGCCACUUUUGGAGGGAAUGGAAGUUUGCUAAGGUUACCGAUCCAUUCCUGAAGCUAGUACUCAACAGUGCUUCACGAACUUACAUUUUAACAAGUUUAUGAAGCUUUAUAUAAUAAUAUAAAGUAAAUUCUACGGUAAAACAAUAGUGGGCAUGUAACAAACCUUGCUCCGUGCUGAAAUUGGUCUCCUCAGAUGAAAUGUGGGGUCCGAACGAAGUAAGUUUGUGGGCGGGGCUUUGUUGCGCGUGUUCAAAAUUCUACCCAACGCUUUGGGUUGUCCAAAAUAACCCAGCACAAUAUAAUGGAAAUCACAACCCAGCAGCAAAUAACUCAGCACCCAACAGAGAUAACCCAGCGAAUUGGGUUCUCAGAAUACCCAACUCAAUAAAAAUAACCCAAUUAAAUGACCCAACAGGCUCAACCCAGCGAUUGGGUCAAAAAAAUAACCCAGCAUUUUUAAGAGUGUAUGUUUGGUCUGUGGUUUAUACGUCACACAUCACUAUGGAGUAACAACUUACACCAAGUUACUACUUGUAAGAAUAGUGCUUCAUGAAAUGAGAAACACAGCCAAAUGUUACGUUGUCACACAUUCCACGAAAUACAAUCUUUUCAAGUAGCUCCUCAUAAAAAGAGUCCUGCUUUACAACUGUGUAAGAACAACUGGAGUCAUUUCACAAUUCAUUUACAUUUUAAUUUCUAUUGAAAGGUAAAUUACUUACGGGCUUAACAUCGAUGAAGGCUAUUUCCUACCCUUUUUAAACACAGGCAGAGGGAGCAGGAUGGGCAGCAGCGUCAGGGCAACUUCUCCCCUGGCAUCUGUAGGACAAUUAUGGGUGUCAUUACCAGAUUGUUGAGAACAUGAGUUUUAAAUAAUACAAUUUUAGAUACAACUGUCUUGUUUUCAAUAUGUUCCACUACUGUGCAGUGUUGUUGUAUUGCAAUCAACCCUAACAAAAUAUUAAGAAAAUGUCUUGAUUAUGUUUACUUGGUCUAUUUUAAAACACAAAAACACCCCAAACAUUUUUACCAAUUGGGAUCAUAAUGUGUACCAUAGAGGGUUUGUCAUCAUUGUCUCGCAGGCUGAUAUAACAGCAAUAUAUAUUGGAAUCACAAGAUGGAUCAUUCAUUCAUUUUCUACCGCUUUUUCCUCACAAGGGUCGCGGGGGGUGCUGGGUUCUGGACCAGGACCGAACCCUGGUCUCCUAGCUGUGAGGUCUGCGCACUAACCACCAGACCGCCGUGCCGCCCCAAGAUGGAUCACUCUGUUAAAAUUUUGGGUAUUGGUACAAGCUACAGUGACUGACCCACCGACAUUUCUUAUGUAUAGAACAUAUAGUAGGCACAGUAGCUACUGUAAAACAAUACCCAUAAAAUGAAGGCAUGAAGAUGACUUACCUUUCAAUCAGCCCUGGUAGCUUCCACUCAGUCAAUUUGGAACUGACAAACUCAUCCAUAGAUGCUUUUCAACGAACUGAAACAUCACAAAGAGGGUCCAUAACAAACAUACCAUGAAAUGAAAUAAGAUUCAGUAGUCCAAACGUAUUCUCCACAUUUAUAUGCGACUUACAAAACUCGUCGAAUUCGCGCCCAAACUAGUUCAAACUGAUAAGUAUUCAGUGGACUAUCGGUGGCUAACGGAAGCCCGCUAGCAUGCAGCAGUCUAGCGUAAAAAAAAAACACCGGUUCAUCAGCACGCUCGUAUUCACGAGAUUCAUUAACUUGAUAUCACAUAAAAUGGCAAAUUGACGAGAUAACUGACGUUGUCCUAACUAUCACACAUAGUGCAUGUCUCUUGUAGCUUCAACAACAUAGUUUGGUUCCUACAUAGCUCGCCAGCGAAUGUGUUCGCUUGCCACUUUUGGAGGGAAUGGAAGUUUGCUAAGGUUACCGAUCCAUUCCUGAAGCUAGUACUCAACAGUGCUUCACGAACUUACAUGUUAACAAGUUUAUGAAGCUUUAUAUAAUAUAAAGUCAAUUCUACGGUAAAACAAUAGUGGGCAUGUAACAAACCUUGCUCCGUGCUGAAAUUGGUCUCCUCAGAUUAAAUGUGGGGUCCGAACGAAGUAAGUUUGUGGGCGGGGCUUUGUUGCUCGUGUUCAAAAUUCUACCCAACGCUUUGGGUUGUCCAAAAUAACCCAGCACAAUAUAAUGGAAAUCACAACCCAUCAGCAAAUAACUCAGCACCCAACAGAAAUAACCCAGCAAAUUGGGUUCUCAGAAUACCCAACUCAAUAAAAAUAACCCAAUUAAAUGACCCAACAGGCUCAACCCAGCGAUUGGGUCAAAAAAAUAACCCAGCAUUUUUCAGAGUGUAGUGUUUAGCGACGCGUUGAGUUAGCCCACCAAGACCCAGCACCCGCAGAGAACACUGACAAGAAAACCCCAGGAUUCCCAAGACAAGCGGGCAGGCGAGCAGACGAGCAGCAAGGCAACCACCCAUUGGGAAGCAAAUUCCCAGAGUGGGAGUGCCGCAGCCCCAAAACGCGGGGAGGCCAAGCACCAGAGCUGCUAUUUUAUUCUGUCUGAUUGUUGAUCCGAUACUAUUCUUCUUAAUAUAUUUUUUAAUACCUCCAGUUCA